AUUGCGGAGCAUGAUGAGCAGAUCGAGUCUGGCUCGCGAAGCGUUUAUGUGAGAGCCGUGAGAGUGAAAUAAGAGAGGAGAAAGUUCGGAGCAGCAUUAACUGACGGUGGAGCUCUAACAUGAGGUUAUAAUAACGUAUAUAUAGUUGAUAAAAUCGACAAAAUGAAAAGAAAGGAGGAAAUAAAGGACAUCGCAAAGAUAUCCUAGAAUCAACGUAGCUGACAAUAUGGACAAAUUGAGAGAGGAAGAAGGAGGUCUAGGAGAGGCAUCGGGCGCCGGCGAAACAUCCUAAGAAUCAACAUAGCUUGCAGUUUAUUCCAUCGUUGCGCAUCGAUUGGUGAAUAAUUAAUAAAACUAUUAUUUUAUUUCGAAGUAAUUGUUUUGUAGAAAU